rnacentral:rRNA from 1 species
ACUCCCAAACCCCUGAUGAACAUACCAAUUGUUGCCUCGGCGGAUCAGCCCGCUCCCGGUAAAACGGGACGGCCCGCCAGAGGACCCCUAAACUCUGUUUCUAUAUGUAACUUCUGAGUAAAACCAUAAAUAAAUCAAAACUUUCAACAACGGAUCUCUUGGUUCUGGCAUCGAUGAAGAACGCAGCAAAAUGCGAUAAGUAAUGUGAAUUGCAGAAUUCAGUGAAUCAUCGAAUCUUUGAACGCACAUUGCGCCCGCCAGUAUUCUGGCGGGCAUGCCUGUUCGAGCGUCAUUUCAACCCUCAAGCCCCCGGGUUUGGUGUUGGGGAUCGGCGAGCCCUUGCGGCAAGCCGGCCCCGAAAUCUAGUGGCGGUCUCGCUGCAGCUUCCAUUGCGUAGUAGUAAAACCCUCGCAACUGGUACGCGGCGCGGCCAAGCCGUUAAACCCCCAACUUCUGAAUGUUGACCUCGGAUCAGGUAGGAAUACCCGCUGAACUUAAGCAUAUCAAUA